rnacentral:rRNA from 1 species
GUAUACAGAUGGACCCGCGGCGCAUUAGCUAGUUGGUGGGGUAAUGGCUCACCAAGGCGACGAUGCGUAUCCGACCUGAGUCGGUGAUCGGCCACACUGGGACUGAGACACGGCCCAGACUCCUACGGGAGUAAGCAGUAGGGAACUUCCGCAAUGGACGAAAUUCUGACGGANCAACCCCGCGUUGAAUUGAUGGAAGCCUUUCGGGAUUCGUAAAGCUUCUGUUGUUAGGGAAGACAAGUGCGAGAGUAACUGCUCGCACCUUGACGGUACCUAACCAGAAAGCCACGGCUAAUUACGUGCCAGCAGCCGCGGUAAUACGUAGGUGGCAAGCGUUGUCCGGAAUUAUUCCACGUAAAGGGCUCGCAGGCGUCUUCUUAAGUCUGAUGUGAAAGCCCCCGGCUCAACGAGGGAGGGUCAUUGGAAACUGGGAAACUUGAGUGCAGAAGAGGAGAGUGGAAUUCCACGUGUAGCGGUGAAAUGCGUAGAGAUGUGGAGGAACACCAGUGGCGAAGGCGACUCUCUGGUCUGUAACUGACGCUGAGGAGCGAAAGCGUGGGGAGCGAACAGGCAGAGAUACCCUGGUAGUCCACGCCGUAAACGGAUGAGUGCUAAGUGUUAGGGGGUUUCCGCCCCUUAGUGCUGCAGCUAACGCACGAAGCACGACGCCUGGGGAGUACGGUCGCAAGACUGAAACUCAAAGGAAUUGACGGGGGCCCGCACAAGCGGUGGAGCAUGUGGUUCAACCCGAAGCAACGCGAAGAACCUUACCAGGUCUUGACAUCCUCUGACAACCCUAGAGAUAGGGCUUUCCCUUCGGGGACAGAGUGACAGGUGGUGCAUGGUUGUCGUCAGCUCGUGUCGUGAGAUGUUGGGUUAAGUCCCGCAACGAGCGCAACCCUCAAUCUUAGUUGCCAGCAUUCAGUUGGGCACUCUAAGGUGACUGCCGGUGACAAACCGGAGGAACGUGGGGAUGACGUCUCGUCAUCAUGCCCCUUAUGACCUGGGCUACACACGUGCUACAAUGGACAGAACAAAGGGCUGCAAGACCGCAAGGUUUAGCCAAUCCCAUAAAUCUGUUCUCAGUUCGGAUCGCAGUCUGCAACUCGACUGCGUGAAGCUGGAAUCGCUAGUAAUCGCGGAUCAGCAUGCGCGGGUGAAUACGUUCCUAGGCCUUGUACACACCGCCCGUCACCACUCACAACA